UGGAAGAAUUUGCAUGCAAACAUUUGUGUAUUUUCUUUUUUUUUUUGGUGCACUUUAAAUGUCGACCGCUAGUUGGCAGCAGUGUGCAUUGGGUUUUGUUUCCACCAUUGAAAUUUAAAUCUCGCUAUUAUGGUUCAGAUAACCCAUGUUAAACAUGUUAAGUAUCAGUUUGGACUGUUUAUUGAAUAUUCCUACAAUAAAUUCAGUCAAAAAUACACAUCCCUACUGCAGACCAAUCCCACCUCAUGUAGUUCAUAGGCUGUAUAAUAAACCCACAGUGAUGGUUAUGGAUAAAUAUCUGUACUAAUGGUAAUCUUUUUCCAUUGUUUCCAGUUGACAAGCAUAUGGACCUAUUGUUCGAGUCUGUGAUGGUGGAUGCUCUACCAUAUCAGGAGUCUGACUGAGUACCUGUGCCUGAACCUCUCUGUGUCUAGUUCAAAAGACCUGAAAGACCUGCUGUAAGCAGGCACAGGUUAAGAUUUUAACAGAACCUGUAAGGUGAACAACACAACACAAAAUAAAUCUUUAUUAUUAUUGUACGCUGUACAGCUAGAAUAAACUUGCAUGCUCAGAAGCCACGUAUGAUUAUAUCGCCUACAAGUUGCCUGAUGCUGAACUUCGAGCAGCUGCGUGCGACUGUACUCCCAUGGAACAACCGCCUGUGGGAGGAGUCGUUGUGUUGCUGUCAGAAGUUUGUGUCGGAGUCCUGGAUCUAAAUUCUUUCCUUGAAGCUCCUGAUCACACAACCAUACUGUCUGUCGGCUUACCCACUACCUUCUGCUCACCCACUUGCAACUCAUGCUGUCAUUCUCCCAGACUUUUGGUUGUUUCUCCACCAUUCUGCCAUCUCCUGUCUGCGCUACAACUUCAGACCGUAAGUACCUAAACUUUUCCUUUUGUAAGUCAUUCUUUAGUCAUUACUAACACUCAAUUUUACCUCAGGGCCUUCUGAUCUUUAAACACUAAAACCUGUGGCUCCAUCUCUGUGGCGUUUCUCAGUCUCUGUAAGCUACCUGCACAGUCUAAGAAAAACCUGACCUGUUGCCUCUUACUAACCUCUGCUCUUCCUUGCAGAAGCUUCUGGUUCCUGAUCUCCAGCUGUUAUCUCUUCAGUCAUCCGUCAAACAUUUUAAUAAACUGUUUUUAGCUCA